GACGGGGCCGCACAAGCGGUGGAGCAUGUGGUUAAUUCGACGCAACGCGAAGAACCUUACCAGGGCUUGACAUCCCCUGACCGCGUAUGAAAGUACGUUUUCACCCUCGGGUGACAGGGAGACAGGUGGUGCAUGGUUGUCGUCAGCUCGUGUCGUGAGAUGUUGGGUUAAGUCCCGCAACGAGCGCAACCCCUACGUUUAGUUGCUAACAGGUGAAGCUGAGCACUCUAGACGAACUGCCGUUGACAAAACGGAGGAAGGUGGGGAUGACGUCAAAUCAUCAUGCCCCUUAUGUUCUGGGCUACACACGUGCUACAAUGGCCGGUACAGACGGACGCAAAGCCGCGAGGCGGAGCAAAUCCGAAAAAGCCGGUCUCAGUUCGGAUUGCAGGCUGCAAUUCGCCUGCAUGAAGUCGGAAUCGCUAGUAAUCGCAGGUCAGCUAUACUGCGGUGAAUACGUUCCCGGGCCUU
rnacentral:rRNA from 1 species